rnacentral:rRNA from 1 species
UACGGGAGGCAGCAGUGGGGAAUAUUGCACAAUGGGCGCAAGCCUGAUGCAGCCAUGCCGCGUGUAUGAAGAAGGCCUUCGGGUUGUAAAGUACUUUCAGCGGGGAGGAAGGCGAUGCGGUUAAUAACCGCGUCGAUUGACGUUACCCGCAGAAGAAGCACCGGCUAACUCCGUGCCAGCAGCCGCGGUAAUACGGAGGGUGCAAGCGUUAAUCGGAAUUACUGGGCGUAAAGCGCACGCAGGCGGUCUGUUAAGUCAGAUGUGAAAUCCCCGGGCUUAACCUGGGAACUGCAUUUUGAAACUGGCAGGCUUGAGUCUUGUAGAGGGGGUAGAAUUCCAGGUGUAGCGGUGAAUGCGUAGAGAUCUGGAGGAAUACCGGUGGCGAAGGCGGCCCCUGGGACAAGACUGACGCUCAGGUGCGAAAGCGUGGGGAGCAAACAGGAUUAGAUACC